rnacentral:pre_miRNA from 1 species
UCUUAUGCAUGAGCAAAGAAGUGGUUUCUUGAGGUGGAGUCUACUCCUGGUGAAGGUGCUAUGAA